rnacentral:tRNA from 1 species
GCGAGUGUGGUGAAAUAGGUAGACACACAAGACUUAAAAUCUUGCGAUCUUAAGAUCAUAUCAGUUCGACUCUGAUCAUUCGCACCA